AGCCAAGUCCCGUGCGAUUGUGCCGAACCCAACUCCGCCAGGUCCGGAAGGAAGCAACGGUCAGUUUGUGUACAAUGCGCCACGGAUCACUUGGCUUUU
rnacentral:SRP_RNA from 7 species